GUAGAGAUCACUGUAACCAUGCUGAAAGAAGUAUUUGUGCUUGGAUGCCUCCUGAGCCUCGCUCUGGCUCAACCUUUGGACAUGGAGCACAAACGACUUGCUCGGUCAAGCUCGAACUCUGAAUCCAACUCUAAUUCCAAUGAGCAAACCACCACCACUGCACCUACCACAACCACCACUUCUACGGCGACAACCCAGUCCCCGGCAACAACCCAACCUUUAACGAUCCAACAAAUUCUCAACCUUCUCAUUGCCCUCCUGGGGCCAAGAU